UAGACACUAAGGUAGAUCGUGUUAAGCACCCCCCGACAAAGGGCCAAACCCUAUGAAUCCUACCCUAAUGUCUUUGGUUGGGGCGACCGCAGGGAAAUAAAAAACCCCCGCGUGGAACGGGAGUACUCUCCUCCUACUACCAAGAGCUACCGCUCUAAUAAACAGAACCUCUGACCCAUUAGAUCCGGCAAUGCCGAUUAACGAACCAAGUUACCCUAGGGAUAACAGCGCAAUCCUCUUUUAGAGCCCAUAUCGACAAGAGGGUUUACGACCUCGAUGUUGGAUCAGGACAUCCUAAUGGUGCAGCCGCUAUUAAG
rnacentral:rRNA from 1 species